rnacentral:lncRNA from 13 species
ACAAGGGUGUGAGGCAAUUGCAGAGGGGAGUGGAGGCCCUGCCUGGGCUGGGAGACCUCGGGAUGGGAGAAUCAGGACUGGUGGUGUGACAUGUCGACACAUAGUGGCUGUUGGAAGUGUGAACACAGCCAGGACCUUCAGGCUGUGCUCAUUAGGGCUUUGCAGAAUUCCCAAUUAUCUCUUGACCUGGCCCUAAGUAAGGCCCCUUUCCAUUGCCUUGGAAAAAAAGAAUGAGUGAGUCAAAAAGAACACCUGAUUUGACACCCUCCAUGGGUUUGGUUCUGAAGCUAAGCUAGUAGAACACAGAAAUGUGGCAUCCUCUGCAACAGUGAUGAGCAAAAAGUAUAAGUACCAGGAGCACCAGUGUCACAGAGGCAAGGGCAGGCUUUUCGAGAUGGCCAUGUGGUUCCCCAAACAAAGGUCAGAAAGAAACAAUUUGUGAGAAGAGAGCAACAUGCCCCUUGCAAAUAAUUAAUAAGCAGUGUUUCAGCUAAACUGCAGGUCUCACGGAUGUGUCCAGAGUGAGGACUCCUUUCUGUACUCAUGUCUCUUGGCUCAAACAGGCACAGAAGGAGGCUUUCUCUACUCUGUGUUUUGGGGAACCCACCACUAAGUGCUCCCUGGUGUCAGAGAGAGGAAUUGGGCUCAGCGUGACAGCUUUCCCUGUUCUAUGUGAAAUACAUUGUCAACCUGUUGCCAGCCUGAUGCCCCCUUACUGACUGUGUUCAAUGUUUUCUUUUGUGCUUCCAGGGUUUCCCUGGGUUGGUCCCUAUGUGAUGUUUCUAAUGUGAAAUGCAGCCUGUGAAAGAGAAGACAAUGCCUCGAGUCUGAUCUGUCCUAAGAUGAAUGUGCUAAUGCUCCAGGACCGAUAAGACAGAGGAGGUCAAGAAGGGGCCUUGUGGCCUGCUUCAAGCUAGAAGUCUACUGUGGUCGAUGAAAAAAUGCCCUACCCAAAGGACAGUUCUAGCAAACCAAUACAAACCCUCAAGGAAGAGAGAGGCAGUGUAAGAACUCAAUUGACCAUUGCUGGCUUUGAAGAUGGAGAGUGGGACCAUGACCCAAGGAAUGCAGAGAUGCCCUGCCCAGUGAGGAGGAAUCUAGAGAGGCAAUCUGGCCCUAGGCACUUUCCCAUGCUGCAGUGAGUUUUGGACAGUCAGAGUUAACACUGUUAGGGGAAAAC